rnacentral:rRNA from 1 species
UACAGAGGGUGCGAGCGUUGUCCGGAAUCACUGGGCGUAAAGGGCGCGUAGGCGGCUCGUUAAGGCUGCGGUGAAAGCCUGGGGCUCAACCCCGGGUCGGCCGUGGCAACUGCUGAGCUGGAGCACUGUAGAGGCAGGUGGAAUUCCGGGUGUAGCGGUGGAAUGCGUAGAGAUCCGGAAGAACACCGGUGGCGAAGGCGGCCUGCUGGGCAGUGGCUGACGCUGAGGCGCGACAGCGUGGGGAGCAAACAGG